ACUUAACAGACUGAGCCACUCAGGCGACCCUAGUCCUCAGCUCUUAAGACAGUGGACAAUGUCCAGCAACCUGAGUGUUUGUCCAGCAUUUUCCAGUAUUCUCAACAGUGAAAUAUCUUCAUCUUCUCUUAGGAAUCCUUCAGGCUCACGCCCCAGGUACGUGGGGGGUCGCACGUCUGAUUUGUGAAAUCUGAAGACAGACAAGGACUGAGGACUUCCGUGAGUCAAAUCCUUGAAGCUGGGCAUGUGAGGAACAUGUUGCAAUCAGCAGCACUGAGAACGUUUCCAGAACGUAGCUGUGAAAGGAGGAACUUAACAGUUAGAGAAACCUUGUUCCUGCCCACACUCUGGAGUCGUGAGUGAGGUUGUGGCCGUCCCAGCUCCGCUCCCUCCCACGGGCUGCACAGCUGAAGACGCGGCUCUGGACAGGCUGGUUUGCUGCCAUGAUCCCUAGGCUACUCCCACUGCUCUGUCUCAGGCUGUGCGCUGGCCAAGGAAGCAGGGGGACUGAUGAGCCCCUUCCCAAGCCCACCCUCAGGGCCUGGCCCAGCUGGGUGGUGCCUCCCAGAAGCAAUGUAAGGCUGCGAUGCCAGACCCCGACCAAGGAUGUCGACUUUGUUC